rnacentral:lncRNA from 1 species
UUAAAUCACAAUUGGAACUUCGGAGAAGAAAGUGAACUAACUUUUUUGUGUUUAUAUUUUUGUGUUUUCUAACUUUUGAAACAAAAAAAAUCAGAACAAGAAAAGAAAUGAUUUCUUUUGAAAUCGAACAAAAUUCAACCCAAACUCAAACUACAUAUAUUUUUUUGUAUAUUUUUUGAAAUGCCAACAACACGUGAAAAAGAAAAAUCUGAGAAGAUAGCAAAAAACGAGAACCCUAGUUUUCCUCACAGUUUCUCCAAAUUUUUCCGUGAACCCCCCAAAAUUCUGUCCAAGACCCAAAUAUAUAUCCAACCUUAGAAGCUUCUUCUCCUCUUCUCCAAGAAAACCGAAAAUCCUCAGAAAUCCGUGUGGACCCCCAAACAAAAUUCGAAAAUCCUUAUUUUAACAAAAAUCAAAAAAAUGGAAGUCUUGGAUCAUAAUUUAAUCCAAUGGCUCCCAUUUUCCAACCUUUAUUUCAAGGACUCAGGUUUUUUGUUUAAGCACAGGAAAAGAAGAAAUCCGCGUGAAUCGGAUUGAAAUGAUAAGAUUUGGUACGGAAUGAAUGACAUGGAAGAAGAAGAAGAGAGAGGAGGGACCAUGGUUAACACGGGCGAGCAGAAUCGCUCGAUUUGGGCGGGUUGGAGGUGGCGACUCGGCGGAUUCAUGGAGGGGAGAGGAUGCGGCUGCUUGGAUGAGGGUCUUUAGGUUUAGGGUUUGGUUAAAAUAAGAUUUUAUAUGGAUGUGGGGAUUAAUUGGGUCCGUUGGAUCAAUGUUAAUGAAAGGCCACGAUUAGAGGGGGAAAACGGGNAAUUCCUUAUCUAGAUUUCUGGAACGCAGACUGUAAUAUAGAGUCAUUAUUUUCCUCGAUUCGGGAUUAAAAUUGGUGACUUGGGACACCCUAAAUCUCCCAAGUGGCGACUCUGAAAUAAAUAAACCAAUCCCGUUUCGAUUGUCCUUUAAUUGAAAAAAACUCCCCUCGCGCCCCUCGGGUGCGGAAAAAGGAGGUGUACAACAAGUACUACGGGGCAUUCCCCGGAAUAACAUAUAUACAAAUCCUUCGGGGCAUUCCCCGGAUAAAUUUAACUAAGGAGUGACCUCUCGCCUCAAAAUACAAACAAAAUCCUAAGGCUUGCCUACCCAAGUGUGGUCGGCCUAAACAUACUCCUAGCGAUUAUGAAAGAAAAAUAAAAUUAAGCUAAAAUAAAGAUAUUCUAUGAUCAUGUUCAAUCUUCAUUUCAUUUGUGAUUUCACCCUCCCUGGCCCAACGUCGCUAUUCAAAUAAGAUAUGCACAUAAUAAGAGGGACGGAAUUCAGAUCGAAACAACAAACCAAACAAAACACAAAGAAAGAAGUAAAAGUCGAUGAAAAUAGCAAAAUAAAAAAUAAAAAAACAACUCAAAACAUAAACCACAAAGCUUACUGCAGGCAAGGAAAUGUCAAAUGCCCCACUGAAAGCUUUUCUCCUAAUGUCCUACUAACCCAAGACAAGGGAAUGACUCCAAACUAAAGAUAAUUGACAAAUUAACUGUAGAGUUUUCAUUUUAGCUCACGUUAGGAGAAAAACUCAUUACUGCAAUUGAGCAUUAACAUUACUAGUAACUUUUAAGCACCACCACAUAGAGAAAAUACAUCUUUGUUUAAGAGAGUGUUUCAAACUUGCUAAAGGUAUUAAUGAAAAGGCAAAGCUGACACCAAGAAUAAAGAAAAAUACUUACCAUACAAAUAUGAUUUCAAGUUUCAAAAUUAGAUGUAAAUAGCAAAUACUUGGAGAAAACACUACUAUGCCUUCCAUUGAGACCAAGGGUUGGCCAAGCAGACAAAGAAACACGUUUUAAAACCAUUCCAUAUAUUCGUCAACUUAAACCUAUUCCAUAGAUUCAAAGAACAAAGAAUUGCGAUUCAUUUAGAAUGGAAGAGGCCAACUACGUGAAUCCAAGGUUUAAAAUGAGACCUCAAACAGCGAAGCUAAAAUCAAUAGGCUCCAUAUUCAUGUUAAACUCGACGCAAUUUGAUACUAAUUCACUGAUCACGAAAGUGAAUCGUAUAGCAAUCCAAUAUGUCCAACAGAACAGAUCUAAAAAAAACCACAGACCUUUAAGCACGAAAAUGAAACAGAACAUAAGCAACGGAGGGAGAUCGAAUCUAACCAAAACCAAACUUGAUAGGGAAUAUGGAAAUGAACCUGGAUAUUCAGAAUUUCAAUUAACUUUGAUGUCGACAAGUUCUUACAGAAACGAAUGGAAUAGCGACAAGCGAAUCUGGAACCACGAGCUCGAACCGCGGACGGCAACCAGGACUUCAAACGAGCACCAUCGGAAUUCAAUCACACUCCAUGCUUAAAUCACAAUUGGAACUUCGGAGAAGAAAGUGAACUAACUUUUUUGUGUUUAUAUUUUUGUGUUUUCUAACUUUUGAAACAAAAAAAAUCAGAACAAGAAAAGAAAUGAUUUCUUUUGAAAUCGAACAAAAUUCAACCCAAACUCAAACUCAAACUCAAACUAUAUAUAUAUAUAUAUAUUUUUUGUAUAUUUUUUGAAAUGCCAACAACACGUGAAAAAGAAAAAUUUGAGAAGAAAACAAAAACCGAGAAUCCUAGUUUUCCUCACAGUUUCUCCAAAUUUUUUCGUGAACCCCCCAAAAUUCUGUCCAAGACCCAAAUAUAUAUCCAGCCCUAGAAGCUUCUUCUCCUCUUCUCCAAGAAAAUCGAAAAUCCUCAGAAAUCCGUGUGGACCCCCAAACAAAAUCCGAAAAUCCUUAUUUUAACAAAAAUCAAAAAAUGAAAGUCUUGGAUCAAAAUUUAAUC